UUUCCGUAGGUGAACCUGCGGAAGGAUCAUUAAAGAGAAUAUGCCCUUCGGGGUAGAUCUCCCGCCCUUUGUUUAUAUUACCUUUGUUGCUUUGGCAGGCCCGUCUUCGGACCACCGGCUUCGGCUGGUCAGUGCUUGCCAGAGGACCCAAAACUCUUAUUAUUAAUGUCGUCUGAGUACUAUAUAAUAGUUAAAACUUUCAACAACGGAUCUCUUGGUUCUG
rnacentral:misc_RNA from 1 species